CGUAGGGAUAGUGGACGGUGCUGCUGCUGCUGCUGCCUGUUUAAAUCUCAAACCUGGCCGCACUAUGAGUCGAGUCUGUAUGCUGUCCCAGUGGGAGUGUACACUGAAAAACGUAUAACCGCCAUUCAACUUCAAAUAAUUAAGAACAAAAGAACGACGUGCCGAGUUUACUUACUCUUGUGAAAAGACGUGAUGAGAAGUGCUAGGGAAAGGAUGAAGAGCAGAAGGACGAAGACAGUCAAACACCACGAGCGUCUCUCUGACAGAGUUCUCCAAAGCCUGUAGAGCAUCAAAGAAGGACACAAGGAAGGACUUCUUUGGACACCUUUCGACUGCCACGUUUGUUUAGAAAGAGGAGGACAUCGGAGUAGGCAAAGAAACGCCAUACCUAUACAUGGAGACU